rnacentral:lncRNA from 1 species
GUGGCAGCCCCUUCCACCCUAUAUAACUGGCACCUAUUAUAUUUGAUUACCGCUCGGUUUUUAUCAAGCUAACUAAUCUCGCAUAAACUAAACAUACGCUUAGUUUGCAACUUCUUAUUCUCUCAUCUUCCUUACUUUUUUGUUCCUUAUACCACCUUACAACCACAUUCUGUGUUUUAACCUUAUCUCCUGGAUAAAUAUCUCGACGUUCGAAUCGCUCGUGUGUUCUACGUUCAACCAAGUUUGUAUCGCUCCUGCGUUAUGAAAACGUCCGUUAUUUCGACCAACGUGAUUAUUUUUUAUCGUUAAUACGCCAAUUAUUCUUCCGUUUUAUAAAUUCAUGAAUCGUUCCUUUAAAUGAAAAGAGACUAUAAAAUCCAUGAUAUUUGGAUGAUCAUAGAACAUUUCGAAUACCUUGGACUCUCUGACAAGUGCAAAUAAUAUGUAAUAUUAUAUAAAUUCAUGUAUAUAAAUUCAUGUAUAAAUACGUUCCAAUAAUUAAUCGGAUAUCCCAGGUAGAAUAAAUAUUUAAAUUAAAA